UUGGACGGGGAGCACACAACAGGUGGAGCCUGCGGUUUAAUCGGACUCAACGCCGGGAAACUCACCAGAUAAGACAGCUGAAUGAUAGUCGGGCUGAAGACUCUACUCGACUAGCUGAGAGGAGGUGCAUGGCCGUCGUCAGUUCGUACUGUGAAGCAUCCUGUUAAGUCAGGCAACGAGCGAGACCCACGCCAACAGUUGCCAGCUCGUCCUCCGGGAUGGUGGGGACACUGUUGGGACCGCCUCUGCUAAAGAGGAGGAAGGAAUGGGCAACGGUAGGUCAGCAUGCCCCGAAUUAUCUGGGCUACACGCGGGCUACAAUGGGUGGGACAAUGGGUAUCGACACCGAAAGGUGAAGGCAAUCUCCUAAACCCAUCCGUAGUUCGGAUUGUGGGCUGCAACUCGCCCACAUGAAGCUGGAAUCUGUAGUAAUCGUGUCUCAAAAUGGCACGGUGAAUAUGUCCCUGCUCCUU
rnacentral:rRNA from 1 species